rnacentral:snoRNA from 1 species
GCUGCCUUUGAGCCCCCUCUGCGCCUGCGCGUGGCGCCGGGGGUUAAGCUGCAGC